rnacentral:rRNA from 1 species
GUGAGGAAUAUUGGACAAUGGGCGCAAGCCUGAUCCAGCCAUGCCGCGUGCAGGAAGACGCAUCUAUGGUGUGUAAACUGCUUUUGUACGGGAAGAAACACUCCCUCGUGAGGGAGCUUGACGGUACCGUAAGAAUAAGGAUCGGCUAACUCCGUGCCAGCAGCCGCGGUAAUACGGAGGAUCCAAGCGUUAUCCGGAAUCAUUGGGUUUAAAGGGUCCGUAGGCGGUUUAAUAAGUCAGUGGUGAAAGCCCAUCGCUCAACGAUGGAACGGCCAUUGAUACUGUUAGACUUGAAUUACAAGGAAGUAACUAGAAUAUGUAGUGUAGCGGUGAAAUGCUUAGAUAUUACAUGGAAUACCAAUUGCGAAGGCAGGUUACUACUUGUGAAUUGACGCUGAUGGACGAAAGCGUGGGGAGCGAACAGGAUUAGAUACCCGGGUAGUCC